UACAUGCAGUCGGACGGGAUUUGGGAGCUUGCUCCUGAUGAGAGUGGCGCACGGGUGCGUAACACGUAUGUAACCUACCUUAAUCUGGGGGAUAGCCUCUCGAAAGAGAGAUUAACACCGCAUAACAUUACACCACAGCAUUUUGGAGUAAUCAAAUAUUUAUAGGAUUAAGAUGGGCAUGCGGAACAUUAGCUAGUUGGUAAGGUAAUGGCUUACCAAGGCUACGAUGUUUAGGGGAUCUGAGAGGAUGGCCCCCCACACUGGUACUGAGACACGGACCAGACUCCUACGGGAGGCAGCAGUAAGGAAUAUUGGUCAAUGGGCGCAAGCCUGAACCAGCCAUGCCGCGUGCAGGAAGACGGCCCUAUGGGUUGUAAACUGCUUUUGUACCGGAAUAAACCCCCGAACGUGUUCGGGGUUGAAUGUACGGUAAGAAUAAGGAUCGGCUAACUCCGUGCCAGCAGCCGCGGUAAUACGGAGGAUCCGAGCGUUAUCCGGAUUUAUUGGGUUUAAAGGGUGCGUAGGCGGCCUAUUAAGUCAGGGGUGAAAGACGGUAGCUUAACUAUCGCAGUGCCUUUGAUACUGAUGGGCUUGAAUGUACUUGAGGUAGGCGGAAUGUGGCAAGUAGCGGUGAAAUGCAUAGAUAUGCCACAGAACACCAAUUGCGAAGGCAGCUUACUAAAGUAUGAUUGACGCUGAGGCACGAAAGCGUG
rnacentral:rRNA from 2 species